rnacentral:lncRNA from 1 species
CUUUAGAUGGCAUGAUAAAUAAUUGAGCCCAGUAAGCUUGAACUCCAAGAAUAACUGAUUGAACCAAUUGACAUCUGCCUGCAUAUGAUAAGUACCUUACUGUCCAGGAAGUAACUUUUGCAGUAAUCUUAUCAACCAGAGGUUACAAUUGAGCAACUGAUAACUUUUUGGCAGUUAAAGGGACUCCCAAAUAUUUGAAAGGAAGAUCCC